AUACGUAGGUGACAAGCGUUAUCCGGAUUUACUGGGUGUAAAGGGCGUGUAGGCGGUUUAGCAAGUCAGAAGUGAAAUUCCCGGGCUUAACUUGGGCGCUGCUUCUGAAACUGCUUUACUUGAGUGCUGGAGAGGAUAGUGGAAUUCCUAGUGUAGCGGUAAAAUGCGCAGAUAUUAGGAGGAACACCGGUGGCGAAGGCGGCUAUCUGGACAGUAACUGACGCUGAGGCGCAAAAGCACGGGGAGCAAACAGGAUUAGAUACCCUGGUAGUCCACACUGUAAACGAUGAAUGCUAGGUGUAGGGGGUAUCGACCCCUUCUGUGCCGCAGUCAACACAAUAAGCAUUCCGCCUGGGGAGUACGGCCGCAAGGUUGAAACUUAAAGGAAUUGACGGG
rnacentral:rRNA from 1 species